CAAUUAAUAUUGUGUAUAAAAUAGACAAAAAUCACGUGUGUCUGUUGAAACUUGAACACGUAGUAGACCGUCAUGCUUUGCGAUUGAUUCGGUUGACACAAAUAUUGUCACGUGUUAAAUAAUGCUUUCCAUAGCGGGUAGUUUACCCGAUCUGUUCAAGGGUUUAAUAAACAAGAGGUAGACGGGUCUUUGGGGAGUAGGACGGAUUCAGCUUAAAACAAAGCUGAAAUCAAGUGUUUCCAUGACCAAGGCACCAUGUAGGAUUUUUGAUGAAGGACAAUUCGCACAUGAGGAUAAAUAUGCUUUGCUGUUCGAUUGCCAGAACUUUACAAGCUUUAUUUGAUUUAUUGUAUAAAUUUAUACAUAUUUAGUUAUUUUAUUGACGCAACCUGAUCCGCGAAAACUCAGCCCAGUGAUUGUGCCAAAAAGUCAAAUUCAAUGGCUUACAAUAAUGACUACGAACGAUUAGCUCAAGAAAUUGCAAGAAUACAAAGAACAACACCAGAAAUUGUAAAUAAUCUAUCCAACAACAGUGAAGUGAAACGUCAAUAUUCUUCGAAAACAUUCAGGAUGCGAAAUCUGCCUCUUCUAUGAGAAAUGAUGCAAUGCAGGAGAAUCUAAUUGUCUAUCAUGAGUACACAACUUUUAGAGAAUACUGCAAGUGAGUCAGUAGGCAAAAACCAAUACUUUUGUAAAUUCUAGCCAUGUCAUUCCAUUGUCAGAGGGGAUUUCCCUUGCCGCUUCAGUGCCAUAACCCAUACAUCUAAAAGCCAAACUCUGAUCCAGUGACUUUUUAGGUCACCUGAUUGAUGCAAGUGACCUAAAACCUAUUUGGACUUAUUGCAGUUGGUUUUCAGUAUCUUAGUAGACCAGGGACCCGUCUACCGAAACUUAAAUUUUCAUAUCCCCCGGGGUAAGGGUUAUGAUUCGGGGGUGGGGGGCAAAAUGGUCAUUUAGUGUAAAUGCAUGUAUACUGUUUAAAAAUUAUCUCCUUUACUCUUACUGGCACUGAAGAGAAAAUGCAUAAUUAGUAAAGCUAUAAAACCCCCUGUCAUGAUUUAAAUUUUUAAGUCCCUCGGGGUUUUGGGGAUUUGAAUAUAGAGCGGGGCCAACAUGGUCGUAUAGUGUAAAUAUAUACUAGCAAUGUUUCAAAACCUUCUACUUGACCUCAAAUGAACUUGAAUUCCAACGUUCAUCAUAUUUAAUAGCUUGCAUUUAAAAGCACACUAUACAAUGAAGCGCAUUGAAGCGGUGAACGUUUCGUCUGAAUGGAAUGUUCUAGACUUUGUUGAAUGUAAUAAUCUCACAAAAGUGAACAAAAAGUGACUCAAACCUAGCAGAAUUGUGGGCUCUGUGUCUUGUUUAUAAUUCUACGAUUGACGCUGAAAUUUUGGUUGAUCAUUAGACAUUAACUAAUAUCUGAAGCCCCUUCCUUAUACGAUGAAUUGUAUGAAUUCUUUAUCAAUUUUGAUAAGUUUUCAGACACGAGUAAAAUAGACGACACCGUUAAAAUAGUUUCAAGUUCUGACACAUUUCUUUUACGGGGAUACAUUAAGAAAAUAUUAGAGCGGAAAAUCAUUCUGAUUUGUAGCCAUUUGUUUUUUAGACAAAAAUGAAAAAAAAUGAGUGGGCCUUAGUAAAAUAUUCAAAACAUUGAUUAUAAUAGCUCUUUAACAUAUCGCGUGACAAUAUUUUGCAAUCGAGUGGAUUCAGGUUUUGGGGCUAUUCAGGUAUAUUUACAUCAUCCAGUGUCUUUGUCUGUGAUAACACUAGGUAUCGAUUUUGUACUAUAUAACCAAUAAUACAAAUGACGCCAAAUUGAGGCGCCGGCGGGGUUUGCUUAUUUAUAGUUAAAGAUUAAAUUGUACGAUUAAGCACCUAUCUCACGAUCGCGCUGCCUUUUGAACGAAACGUUUUAAUUCAUGUCGCAGGAUCUUGUAUGAAUAAAUAACGCUAAAUCCCUGGUACUGAUUUCAGCUAUGCACUGGUUCUUUAUUUCGAGGAUUGUAUAUUAAUAAAUAAAACCUAUAAGUACAAACACACGCACAAUCAGUUACACAAUUCAAACGCAUUGUUGCAGUGCUUUAGAAAACACUCGUUGUUGUUUUAGAAUAAAACACGGCAAUUUGUAAAAUAAAAUAAAAUAAAAAUAAAAAACGCAAACCAAUAAGCAUAAUGAAUAAACAUUUUAAAAAAUGCUUUUAAUAAUAAUAACUAGCCUAAAUCAAGACAACGACAAAGGAAACUAAAGAAAUAUCGGAAUAAAGUCGUGGCAAUUUUUCAUACAUCUAGCAAUUGUAAAUGGAUUAGAAAUAUUUAGUGACUUUAAAACAAGUACAUGUAUAGAAACAUUUGUUGAUUUCCGUGUCCUGUUUACAACAGGUAUGUAAGUAAAAACGUAAAUGAAAUAUAAACAGGAAAGUCAGCAUUUGCAAAACGUCAGCUAAAUCGCAUGCAUACAGUGAAGAGCGGACACUUGUCAAACAAAAUGAUAAAUAUCGCAAUUAAAAUUAAAGCUAUUAACUUAUUGUGUGUAUCCAGGUGUGUGAAUAUCGUAAGAAAUAUGUUACAUGUACAUGUAUAAUGUAACGGAAUAACGAAAACCAAUAGUCACGGAAAUCAACAAAUGAAUGUUUAAAGAAACAAAUAUAUUAAGAAUUCAUCUAGUAACAAAGAUAUACCACAGCGAGGGAAAGAGACUCUGAUCGUAAGGACAUCAGUUAUAACCAUGAAGUCGGAAGAGAAAUAUUGUUGAAUAAUUUCAAAUAGGAACACUCUUUUAAAAAGGAUUUAAGAAAACAUAAAACUAAAACGUUUUCAUUCGAUAAUUUUCUUCUAGCUAUAAAGGAGGAGCAAAGUAGCACGCGGCGCAUGGCGUGACCUUAGAGAGAAUGUUCUAUCGUUAAAAUGACAGAUGUCCUACGGACCCGGUUUAAAGAUAGAAUUCGUCCCAUAUACUCGCUUCGUAGCAAAUAAAAAAAUUAUAUCGCGCUGUAUCUUGCCUAAAUUUUCAUAUGAUUGGUCUCAAAUACCUACAAUGUUGCUCCUUUAUAAUCCCAUUUUACCACAUUAACCGUUUUUGCAACGAAAUCGCUGCUACUUUUAAUCACGUUUGAAAAUUCGCUGUCGCCAUGUUAACGAUAAAAUCCAAGACAUUCCAAGUGCGAUUUCCGACAAAAUGGUAGGGAAAUUCCGACGCAUAUUUUAUCAAAAUGCUCUGGUACGACUCAUUAAAUGGAUAAUUUGUGGACUAAACUGAAUAUGCAUGUUCAAAAAGGUUUGUAAUGUAUAAAAAUGUGUUUUUCUUCUGCAGAUUAUUUUUAACAGACUUAAAAUCGACACAAAGCUGAUCCGCUUCGCGGCUGAUACAUUGCAAGCAUAUGGGACGAAUUCUUAAUGUGACCUGAGCGUAGCCUGGUCACGGUGUUUCCAUGACCAAGGCACCAUGUAGGAUUUUUGAUGAAGGACAAUUCGCACAUGAGGAUAAAUAUGCUUUGCUGUUCGAUUGCCAGAACUUUACAAGCUUUAUUUGAUUUAUUGUAUAAAUUUAUACAUAUUUAGUUAUUUUAUUGACGCAACCUGAUCCGCGAAAACUCAGCCCAGUGAUUGUGCCAAAAAGUCAAAUUCAAUGGCUUACAAUAAUGACUACGAACGAUUAGCUCAAGAAAUUGCAAGAAUACAAAGAACAACACCAGAAAUUGUAAAUAAUCUAUCCAACAACAGUGAAGUGAAACGUCAAUAUUCUUCGAAAACAUUCAGGAUGCGAAAUCUGCCUCUUCUAUGAGAAAUGAUGCAAUGCAGGAGAAUCUAAUUGUCUAUCAUGAGUACACAACUUUUAGAGAAUACUGCAAGUGUUUCCAUGACCAAGGCACCAUGUAGGAUUUUUGAUGAAGGACAAUUCGCACAUGAGGAUAAAUAUGCUUUGCUGUUCGAUUGCCAGAACUUUACAAGCUUUAUUUGAUUUAUUGUAUAAAUUUAUACAUAUUUAGUUAUUUUAUUGACGCAACCUGAUCCGCGAAAACUCAGCCCAGUGAUUGUGCCAAAAAGUCAAAUUCAAUGGCUUACAAUAAUGACUACGAACGAUUAGCUCAAGAAAUUGCAAGAAUACAAAGAACAACACCAGAAAUUGUAAAUAAUCUAUCCAACAACAGUGAAGUGAAACGUCAAUAUUCUUCGAAAACAUUCAGGAUGCGAAAUCUGCCUCUUCUAUGAGAAAUGAUGCAAUGCAGGAGAAUCUAAUUGUCUAUCAUGAGUACACAACUUUUAGAGAAUACUGCAAGUGUUCCAAAACUUGAACAAAGACAGUUGAUGAGCACCAUGCUUUAAAAAAGAGGAUUUUUUCUAACAAAUGUGGGCAGGUCAAGUUCCAUAUCUUGACAGCACAAUCGGAGACAUCUGACAUCCUGCUAAAAUAUAUAAAAGAGGAAGUAAUGUAUGAAUUAAGUUAAGUGAUUAUCAUUUGCCCAUGGAAAUAAAUUGAAGUAAAGGAGCAUGAAAUGUCAACAUAAUUUGCUAAAGGAAACUUAUAAGUUUACAGAGUAUACGAUCAGGCAUGGUAGUGUAUUUGUGUUAAAAGACAUGCUCUAUUUAAGUGUUGAGUCAUUGCAAUGUGCUUUUAGCUGUUAAACACCAAGGACACAUGUAAACGGAUAAAAGAUGUUUUUAUACAUGUACCAUGUCCUCUCACAUUAGCCACACAGUUAUAACGGGACGACAGAAGGCGGUCUGUUAUUCGACAUACCUUUAAAUUCUGAAACUGCGUUUCUGCGGGAUAGUUUUUUUUGUAUAGAAUUAAUAUGAUGCUUAUUUUUAUGAAUUAAAAGUUAAUCUGCAUGUAGAAACAUGUCUUUAUGCCUUUUAAAAAUAUUAACAUUUUUUUGUUUUACUUGUAAAUGCAAAGUAGGUCAAAUACUGCAGUGUUAGGCAUUUUUUUUAUAAGGACUGUAGUAUAUUCGGAAAAUUUCGGAGUUUUUCAUUCUUUUCAAAACAAUGUAUAGGGAUCGGUAUACGAGACAAACUUAAGACCUUAAAUACUAAAGACCUGAAUUAUAUGAACUUUUAUAUGAAUGAUAUAUUUUAAUUUCUAUGUGCUGCGUCAAAAAAAUGACUUUUUAUGUGUAUAUAUUAUAUUUCCAUGUGAAAUGUGGUAGAAAAAUGACAUCCAUAUCAAUUUUUACGCCCAAAUGGUAAAGAACUGCACAUUUUAAUUGACCUGAAAAUUUACUUGAUUUUUUAGAAUUCUUUUGAGAACCUCAUGCAAUUAAAAAAUCAUGUUUAUCGUCAUAAACUAAAGUGUAGAUAAGAUUUAUAAUUCCAAUCAAAAAAAAAAAUCGGCUUAUUUUUUACUUUUAAAAUUGUCCAUAUUCUACCGGAUGCGCAUAAUCUUACAUGUGCCUUUAAAAUAAUUAACCCAUUUCUGUUUUGAUAUGUGGUCCCUUGAAAUCUUAUAAACUAAUGCAUUAAGUUUUAAUUCAAUACAAUACAAAAAAAAAUCAAAGUGGUUGAAAAUACAUAAUAUUUAAGAGAAUAAUGAUGAGUUGAACUUUGUAUUAUAAUAAUGUAUAAAUCAUUGUCUUUUUCAUUCCUUCAUUCUAUGGCAAUGGUCAUACAAUUACCGUCAGUAACGAACUUGAUUCUUAAUAAUAAUAAUAGUAAACUGUUAAACUUCAUAAAGUGUUGCUGAAAAUAUACCGGUAAUAAAAUUUACCAUAAAAAUUAGUGCAACCAAUUCGUUAUUUUCUUCUUUGUGGUGUGUUUUUAAGUAAACAACCAAUGAUGAUUCAUUUAACAAUUAUAUUUUUUGCGGCCCAUUUGACGCUUGCUUGAUUUCUUGUUUUCCUAAUAACAUAUUUAUGUCACCUAAUUCUGCAUCCAUUCUCAUGCGUUUGCCGUUUACAAUUUCACUCUAUUUUAUGUCACCUAAGUUACUCAGGCGUUAAGUGGCAUAUUGCAGUUGGUCUUAGUCCGUCGCGGUGCCUCUUGCGUUUUCCAUCGUAGGUUUAAAAGUUAUUUUUUUUUAAGUUCUUGAAAACCAUUUGUUACCAUGUUUGAUAUGAAGCAUCUCUAUGGUAAGAGGGAUCUAAAUUGUGAUAUUAAUGGAUUCAUUACUCCAAGGACCUCACAGACUGGGUCAAAUAAGCAAACAAAGUGCAACAUUUUCAAAAUUGUUCCUUCUACUACUAGAUAUAUGGGGAAAAAAGUAAAUGCCUUGUUAUGAUGUCCACAAAUCUCUAGAGCUGUUAAAAUGUAAAACUCAUAACCACCGGGUCAGGGGUUCAGACUCCAGGGUGGGGCCAAUAUGGCCCUAUAGUAAAAAUGUAAACUUUUCUCUACUUCAACAUAGAUUUGAGAAAAAACUUAAUGUAUUGUUAUGAUGCCCAUGGACCCCUCUACGUUAAUUAAUGACUUAAUGACUUAAGACAAAGAUUCAGGUCCUACGGUUGGGCUAAUAUGGUCACAUAGUAAGAAUAAAUUAUUAAUAUUUUCUUCUGUACUAUCACAGUCAUGGGAGAUAAUCUCAUGCACUAUAUUCAUAAUAUCCUAAUAUCCAAUUGUGAAAUACACUGCGGUGCCAUAGGACAGUUGCAUUUGCAUUUGGUGUGCAUUAUAAACGAAACUGACUAUUACAGAAGAUUGACCUUUACAAGACUGCGGGUGUCUUAUGACCAAAAGUUUACAAUUGGCUAAAUUAUAGAUAAUUCGAGAUUCGUCCGACUCUUACAUUUGUAAACCCUGCCUCUCAUCCCUUAUUUUCUUUCAUGAAUAUGUUUUAAACAUUAAGUAAUACAUGCAGGGUAACAAUCAGAGGAGUCUCAGAUAAGGGUUUACACUUCGAAACGAAGCUUAAAAUGUAAACAUGAGAAUCUCAGACAUGUCAAUAUGAAGAGUAAUGUAUAGGUGAACGUAAAGGCCUGUGGGCCUCUUGUUUUAUUGAUUUUGUAAAAAUUACAAGUCCAUUUGCUACCAAUGUUGGUUUGGAACGUCUCUAGAAUAUAUAGUCUAUGACUAUACCACCCCGGGUAUUAUUUAGCUGGACCAAAUAUGCAAAAAAUGUCAAAUUAAAAAAAACAACCAAACAAACUCUCUAGUCCAUAACAUGUGUG